AACGAACGCUGGCGGUAUGCCUAACACAUGCAAGUCGCACGAGAAAGUACUUCGGUAUGAGUAGAGUGGCGCACGGGUGAGUAACACGUAGGUGACCUUCCGAAUAGUGGGGGAUAACUCGGAGAAAUCCGGGCUAAUACCGCAUAUGUACGACAAAUCUGAGAGUAGUCGUAGAAAGAAUGCCUCUACUUGUAAGCAUUCGCUAAUCGAUGGGCCUGCGGAGCAUUAGCUUGUUGGUGGGGUAAUGGCCUACCAAGGCUACGAUGCUUAACGGAUCUGAGAGGAUGAUCCGUCACACUGGAACUGAGACACGGUCCAGACUCCUACGGGAGGCAGCAGUGGGGAAUAUUGCGCAAUGGACGCAAGUCUGACGCGGCAAUACCGCGUGAGUGAGGAAGGCC
rnacentral:rRNA from 1 species